CACGAAGAGGCAUGAGCUAAGGAUAGUAUAUAGUAGUAAAAAAGUGUUGCAUAAUGUGAAGAACUGUCCUUAGGGGUGACAGGCCAAACAAAUGUCUUGAUAUCUUGUUAACCUCGAAACUUAUUUAGUAUAAGGCAAUUCUAAAGUGCUAAAAUUUUAGAUCGUAAUAAACUCACACGACUCAGAUUUAUUAAGUGUAAAAGCGUAUAAGUAGCUAAUAUAAUAUCAAUUUGAUUAAAUUAUUUAAACUAGUGGAAAAUAUUAUAAUAGUAAUUUAUAUUUAUAAUGUUAAUAUUAGUAAUAACUAAGGUAUACCAAAUGAACUCGGCUAAAUUUUCUCGACUGUUUAUCAAAAACAUAGCUUAAUGUGCUUAUAUUAAGUGCUUCCUGCUCAAUGAUUACUUAAAUAGCCGCAGUACUUUGACUGUGCAAAGGUAGCAUAAUCAAUUGGCUUAUAAUUGAAGUCUAGAAUGAAAGGAUAUACGGGGAAUUACUCUAUCUGGUAUUUAACAUAAAAUUGGUUUUCAAGUGCAAAUACUUGUAAAUAAUUGAUAGACGAGAAGACCCUAGAAAUUUGCGACACUGUUUAGUUGGGGCAACGUAGUAGGAGAAAACCUACAGUAAGGACAAGAAAUAGAUUAGUAAGAAAAAAUUACUCUAGGGAUAACAGCAUAAUUUAUUAAAGUUUGUGACCUCGAUGUUGGAUUUGGGAAUUAUAGUUCAGA
rnacentral:rRNA from 1 species